rnacentral:rRNA from 1 species
CCCUUAGAUGUUCUGGGCCGCACGCGCGCUACACUGAUGCAUUCAACGAGUCUAAAACCUGCUCUGAUAGGGGUGGGUAAUCUUUUGAAUGUGCAUCGUGAUUGGGAUAGAUGAUUGCAAUUUUUCAUCUUCAACGAGGAAUGCCUAGUAAACGCAAGUCAUCAGCUUGCAUUGAUUACGUCCCUGCCCUUUGUACACACCGCCCGUCGCUCCUACCGAUUGAAUGAUCCGAUGAAUAUCAUGGACUGAGGAUGCAAGUAGGUUCGCCUAUCUUCAUCUUCGAGAAGUGAAGUAAAUCUUAUCAUUUAGAGGAAGGAGAAGUCGUAACA